CUACACGUCCCGGCGUGCCCGGCCCGCGGAGCCGGCGGCGGGGAUGGCGCCUGCGCGGGGCUGCGGGGCCGCUCCGCGGUGCCACACCCCCGGGGGAGGGAGGCAGGAGCGCCCGAGACCUCAAACCAUCGGGGAGCCGGCGGGGAGGAGGAUGGAGUAGCGGGGCGACGCGCUGAGGGAGCGGAGAGCGCGGCGGAGAGCACGGGCCGGCGCGACCGAGCGCUGCCGCCGCCGGGGGAACCUCAGCGGGCGCAGAGGAGGGAGGAAAAUAAUGAAAGGAGGAAUAAUGCACUAAGGGGAAGGAGGCUGAUGGUCGCCCGGAGACUCCGCACCUACGGAGAGUGACGUCCUGCUGCAGUGCCGCUGCCUACCUACGCUGACUGAGCUUGUCAAUGGAGCUGGAAAACAUCGUUGCCAACACCGUCUUGCUGAAAGCCAGGGAAGCUUGCCUUUGCAGGAUGAUCACAGAAGAGRUUUGUGCAUGUCCUUAUUGGCAAAAGACUAGCAAUAAAUCCUAAACAAGAAGCAUGAUUGCUUUCCAAGAACUUGGCUGUAGAACAACUGGAAAAAGGGCACUGGAACAAUGAAGAGCAUAUUUGAAGGAAAGAAGAAUGAAAGCCUUAACCACAGAAAUGGGCUCUACCACAAAUAUCUGUGCUUUUGUCACCUGUGAAUUGGUGGGUGGAUGUGCGCUGGCUCAUUUUGAAAGCUAUGAAGAAAAAAACAGCUAAAGAGGAAUGUAACAACUCUUCGCUGUUACUAGGCCCCAAGGGCUGUCUUUUCCAGUCAGCAUGGAUGGUCCUCCUCAAAUUUCAUGCAGUCAGUGUUCAGGCCAAGUUCAUUCCAGACGGUGGGUCCCUAGGAGAUGUGCCGAGGGAUGGAGUUGGUUGUGAAGACAGCCUGAAUCCGAUCCUCUCAGUGACCCACACCAAAAUCAGAUGAAGUAGCAGGUCAAAUGGGGUGAGGUCCUGGGGAAGAGACAGUACUAAAGAGGGGAUACAUCAGGAUAUUUCUGAGCAGUUUCCAUCAGUGAAAUUGCUUAUAGAGUUCUCCAUUGCCCUGAGGGUGCCUAAGAGGCAAUUAAUAAACAGUGGCAGCUAUUUUUGUAUUGCUUGCA
rnacentral:lncRNA from 1 species